rnacentral:rRNA from 1 species
UGGGGAAUAUUGGACAAUGGAGGAAACUCUGAUCCAGCAAUUCUGUGUGUGUGAAGAAGGUUUUAGGACUGUAAAACACUUUUAGUAGGGAAGAAAAAAAUGACGGUACCUACAGAAGAAGCAACGGCUAAAUACGUGCCAGCAGCCGCGGUAAUACGUAUGUUGCGAGCGUUAUCCGGAAUUAUUGGGCUUAAAGGGCAUCUAGGCGGUAAGACAAGUUGAAGGUGAAAACCUGUGGCUCAACCAUAGGCUUGCCUACAAAACUGUUGAACGAGAGUACUGGAAAGGUGGGUGGAACUACACGAGUAGAGGUGAAAUUCGUAGAUAUGUGUAGGAAUGCCGAUGAUGAAGAUAACUCACUGGACAGAAACUGACGCUGAAGUGCGAAAGCUAGGGGAGCAAACAGG